rnacentral:rRNA from 1 species
GAUGAACGCUAGCUACAGGCUUAACACAUGCAAGUCGAGGGGUAACGAGAGGAAAGCUUGCUUUCCUUGUCGACGACCGGCGCACGGGUGAGUAACGCGUAUCCAACCUGCCCCCAACUAGGGAAUAACCUUGCGAAAGUAAGACUAAUACCCUAUAAUUUCCUCAGAUGUCAUCUGACGAGGAAUAAAGAUUUAUCGGUUGUGGAUGGGGAUGCGUCUGAUUAGCUUGUUGGCGGGGUAUCGGCCCACCAAGGCAACGAUCAGUAGGGGUUCUGAGAGGAAGGUCCCCCACAUUAGAACUGAGACACGGUCCAAACUCCUACGGGAGGCAGCAGUGAGGAAUAUUGGUCAAUGGGCGGAAGCCUGAACCAGCCAAGUAGCGUGCAGGAUGACGGCCCUAUGGGUUGUAAACUGCUUUUAUACAGGAAUAAAGUUAGCCACGUGUGGUUAUUUGUAGGUACUGUAUGAAUAAGGACCGGCUAAUUCCGUGCCAGCAGCCGCGGUAA